UCAUGACGAGAUCAUGUGAGGCGUGGAAAGCGUGAGAAAAGGACACCCACCUCUCCGUCCAGCAGCCAGUGUUUUAUCCAUGGAUAAUCCUGGCACCUGCCGCCUCUCAUUCUUCUGUGCGCUCCUCUGAGUGCGCCUCUGGACACGCCCACAGGCGUUCUUCUCCUGCCAAAAUCUACGAUCAACACAGCGCCAGCGCAACCUGCGUUCCAGUGCCAGAACGUAGCUACCUGUAUUGUACGGUUUCGAGCAGUGUGUCUCGUCUCCCUGGAUCCCCUUUGGACUCUCUGCUGCCUUCCUGGAUCUCGACCUUACGCCUUCCUUCGGACAAUGACGCCUCGCUCCAGCCCCUGACCUCCUGCCUGUCCCUGGACCUCUGAGGCUGCCUUGCCCUUUCUGGAAUUCCGCCUCUUCCUCAACACGCACCUUCAUCACCUCCCGUCUUAGUAGUGACCCACGCCGAGCUUCGCCGCCUGACGCGCCACGCCGAGCUUAGCCGCCUGACUCACCACGCCAAGCCACGUCUGCCACGAUGACAACGCGCCUCCCUCCUCGUCGGCCACGGAUAUGGCCGCUACCUGGUCGCCCGCCACGCCAAGUGCGCCCACCUCCCAGUCGGCCAUGAAUGUGGCCAUUCCCUGGGCGCCCGCCUCGCCUGCUGCAGCGGCGUUCCACUCGCCGCCGCCACUUAACUCUGCCCCGGUGGAUACGGGGACACGUGGUCUGGCGACCCACCGCCAUGUCCCCCUCCCGCCCUCCCAUGACUCUUGUUAAUUUUUUUAUGGACAUCUGGUAUCUGUCCUUAAGGGAGGGGCUCUGUCAUGUCUGUGUAAUCAUGUUUUGUUUUAAGUCAUGUUUUGUUUAGUUAUAGGACUCUUUAGUUUCUGUCUUUUCACUCCCUUGUCUUGUUUCCAUGAUUACCCCAUUAGUUUCACCUGUUCCACGUUUGGACUCAUUGUGCACUCUUGAUUGUCACCAUAGCAACCCAUUAGUUUUCACCUGUCACGUCACGCACCUGUUUCACGUCUUGAGUCACGCACCUGUUUUCGUUAAUCAUGUCUGUAGUAUUUAAGUUCAGUGUUUUUCAGUUUGUCUUUCUGACGACCUCACCACAUUUAUGCUCUGUCCAUUCCUCUAAGAUCCUGCUUCAUGUCCCUUGUCAAAGUAAGUUUUUGUUCCAUGUUUAUAGUCUUUUGGUUUCAUAGUUUAUUCUCCGCCACUGUGCGCGCUUUCGUUUAUUCCUUUUUUUUGAUAAAUAUAAAUAAAUCAUGUACCUUCAUUCCC